GAUGAACGCUGGCGGCGUGCCUAAUACAUGCAAGUCGAGCGAACAGAUGAGGAGCUUGCUCCUCUGACGUUAGCGGCGGACGGGUGAGUAACACGUGGAUAACCUACCUAUAAGACUGGGAUAACUUCGGGAAACCGGAGCUAAUACCGGAUAAUAUAUUGAACCGCAUGGUUCAAUAGUGAAAGACGGUUUUGCUGUCACUUAUAGAUGGAUCCGCGCCGCAUUAGCUAGUUGGUAAGGUAACGGCUUACCAAGGCAACGAUGCAUAGCCGACCUGAGAGGGUGAUCGGCCACACUGGAACUGAGACACGGUCCAGACUCCUACGGGAGGCAGCAGUAGGGAAUCUUCCGCAAUGGGCGAAAGCGUGACGGAGCAACGCCGCGUGAGUGAUGAAGGUCUUCGGAUCGUAAAACUCUGUUAUUAGGGAAGAACAAAUGUGUAAGUAACUACGCACGUCUUGACGGUACCUAAUCAGAAAGCCACGGCUAACUACGUG
rnacentral:rRNA from 1 species